CGUACGGGUGAGUAACACGUAUGCAACCUGCCUGCCACAGCCGGAUAAUCGGGAGAAAUUCCGUCUAAUACGGCAUAAUGCAUCGACGGGACAUCCUGUUGGUGCCAAAGGUUAAUUCCGGUGGCGGAUGGGCAUGCGUCGCAUUAGUUAGUUGGCGGUGUAACGGACCACCAAGACGACGAUGCGUAGGGGUUCUGAGAGGAAGGUCCCCCACACUGGUACUGAGACACGGACCAGACUCCUACGGAAGGCAGCAG
rnacentral:rRNA from 1 species